rnacentral:rRNA from 1 species
CCUACGGGCGGCAGCAGUGGGGAAUAUUGGGCAAUGGACGCAAGUCUUACCCAGCCAUGCCGCGUGAAUGAAGAAGGUCUUCGGAUUGUAAAGUUCUUUAAUUGGGGACGAAAAAACUGACGGUACUCAAGGAAUAAGCCCAGGCUAACUACGUGCCAGCAGCCGCGGGACUACGUGGGGGGCAAGCGUUGUUCGGAAUGGCUGGGCGGAAAGGGUGUGUAGGCGGGGUAGCAAGUUAGAAGUGACAUACCUCGAGCUUAACUCAGGUGCUGCUUCUAAAACUGGUAGACUUGAGUGCAGUAGAGGAAAGUGGAAUUCCUAGUGUAGCGGUGGAAUGCGUAGAGAUUAGGAGGAACAUCAGUGGCGAAGGCGACUUUCUGGACGGUAACUGACGCUGAGGUACGAAAGUGUGGGGAGCAAACAGGAUUAGAUACCUUGGUAGUC